rnacentral:rRNA from 1 species
GGGUGAGUAACACGUGGGUAACCUGCCCUAAAGUCUGGGAUACCACUUGGAAACAGGUGCUAAUACCGGAUAACAACAAUAGCUGCAUGGCUAUUGCUUAAAAGGCGGCGAAAGCUGUCGCUAAAGGAUGGACCCGCGGUGCAUUAGCUAGUUGGUAAGGUAAUGGCUUACCAAGGCGACGAUGCAUAGCCGAGUUGAGAGACUGAUCGGCCACAUUGGGACUGAGACACGGCCCAAACUCCUACGGGAGGCAGCAGUAGGGAAUCUUCCACAAUGGGCGAAAGCCUGAUGGAGCAACGCCGCGUGAGUGAAGAAGGUUUUCGGAUCGUAAAGCUCUGUUGUUGGUGAAGAAGGAUAGAGGUAGUAACUGGCCCCUAUUUGACGGUAAUCAACCAGAAAGUCACGGCUAACUACGUGCCAGCAGCCCCGGUAAUACGUAGGUGGCAAGCGUUGUCCGGAUUUAUUGGGCGUAAAGCGAGCGCAGGCGGAAAGAUAAGUCUGAUGUGAAAGCCCCCGGCUUAACCGAGGAAUUGCAUCGGAAACUGUGUUUCUUGAGUGCAGAAGAGGAGAGUGGAACUCCAUGUGUAGCGGUGGAAUGCGUAGAUAUAUGGAAGAACACCAGUGGCGAAGGCGGCUCUCUGGUCUGUAACUGACGCUGAGGCUCGAAAGCAUGGGUAGCGAACAGGAUUAGAUACCCUGGUAGUCCAUGCCGUAAACGAU